GAUGGACGCUGGCGGCGUGCCUAAUACAUGCAAGUCGAGCGCAGGAAACUGACGGAACUCUUCGGAGGGAAGGCAGUGGAAUGAGCGGCGGACGGGUGAGUAACACGUAAGGAACCUGCCUCAAGGAUUGGGAUAACUCCGAGAAAUCGGAGCUAAUACCGGAUAGUUCAUCGGACCGCAUGGUCCGUUGAUGAAAGGCGCUUCGGCGUCACCUUGAGAUGGCCUUGCGGUGCAUUAGCUAGUUGGUGGGGUAAUGGCCCACCAAGGCGACGAUGCAUAGCCGACCUGAGAGGGUGAUCGGCCACACUGGGACUGAGACGCGGCCCAGACUCCUACGGGAGGUAGCAGUAGGGAAUCUUCCACAAUGGACGAAAGUCUGAUGGAGCAACGCCGCGUGAGUGAUGAAGGUUUUCGGAUCGUAAAACUCUGUUGUAAGGGAAGAACACGUACGAGAGGAAAUGCUCGUACCUUGACGGUACCUUACGAGAAAGCCACGGCUAACUACGUGCCAGCAGCCGCGGUAA
rnacentral:rRNA from 1 species